UACGUAGGGUGCAAGCGUUAAUCGGAAUACUGGGCGUAAAGCGUGCGCAGGCGGUUUUGUAAGUCUGUCGUGAAAUCCCCCGGGCUCAACCUGGGAAUUGCGAUGGAGACUGCAAGGCUAGAAUCUGGCAGAGGGGGGUAGAAUUCCACGUGUAGCAGUGAAAUGCGUAGAGAUGUGGAGGAACACCGAUGGCGAAGGCAGCCCCCUGGGUCAAGAUUGACGCUCAUGCACGAAAGCGUGGG
rnacentral:rRNA from 1 species